rnacentral:rRNA from 1 species
GGCGAACGGGUGAGUAACACGUGAGUAACCUGUCCACAACUUUGGGAUAACGCUAGGAAACUGGUGCUAAUACUGGAUAUGUGCUCCUGCUGCAUGGUGGGGGUUGGAAAGCUCCGGCGGUUGUGGAUGGACUCGCGGCCUAUCAGCUUGUUGGUGGGGUAGUGGCCUACCAAGGCGGCGACGGGUAGCCGGCCUGAGAGGGUGACCGGCCACAUUGGGACUGAGAUACGGCCCAG